CUUGAAUAAUGUGAUCAAUUGCAGCAAAAACAUAAUUUGAGUUGACACAAUUAACUACCACUUCCUCGUCUGAGAUUAUGGUGACAGUGUUCCAAUUAAGGUGUUUUGCCAUUUGUAAACCCCAUCUAACACCCAAAGCUUCAGCAAGCACAGGGUCGGUUACUGUUCCCUCUUUUCGGCAGGCUGAGAGCACUACUGAGUUGGAUUGAUCGAUAGCAACCN
rnacentral:lncRNA from 1 species